rnacentral:rRNA from 1 species
GACGAACGCUGGCGGCGUGCUUAACACAUGCAAGUCGAACGGAAAGGCCCCUUUGGGGGUACUCGAGUGGCGAACGGGUGAGUAACACGUGAGUAACCUGCCCUUGACUUCGGGAUAACUUCAGGAAACUGGGGCUAAUACCGGAUAGGAAUCCUUGCUGCAUGGUGGGGGUUGGAAAGCUCGGCGGUUUUGGAUGGACUCGCGGCUUAUCAGCUUGUUGGUGGGGUAGUGGCUUACCAAGGCUUUGACGGGUAGCCGGCCUGAGAGGGCGACCGGCCACAUUGGGACUGAGAUACGGCCCAGACUCCUACGGGAGGCAGCAGUGGGGAAUAUUGCACAAUGGGCGGAAGCCUGAUGCAGCAACGCCGCGUGCGGGAUGACGGCCUUCGGGUUGUAAACCGCUUUCAGCAGGGGCGAAGCUUGUGGUGACGGUACCUGCAGAAGAAGCACCGGCUAACUACGUG